UUUUUUUUUUUUUUCUUUUUUCUUUUUUAAGAAAAGGACUUCCUUUAAGGCAAAGCCAUCUUCGAAUCUUGUGAGACUUAACUGUUUUUGGCUUGGAGCUCUGGGUCUGAACAGCGACGCCAGUUUGACCACAAUGGGUUGACGCUGGCUGCAUUUUUAGGACUGUCAGGCCUGGAGCCAGGACCCCCACACACACCACCACCACCACUUUAGCUCCUUCCCACCCAAGGGCAGCAGCGAGUUGUGUGCGGCAUGGAAAUGGAAGGAGUGGGUGUGUGCUCGGUAAAUCCUAACUAGGCACCUCUGGGAAACCAGCUGGCUGUGGUUAAAAGAGGAAGCCAUUCCCCCUGGUGCAGGAGAACGAACUGUGUAAUCCUGGGCAGAGGAGGAAGCAGCCUUGCUCUCUCCUCCCUUUGAUUUCAGACACUGUGUCUGAGGUAAUUAUCUCUUCGUCUGCAUGCCACCAGCUAUUGUAGAAAUUUGGGGAUUAAGGAAAGUAGAGGGACUGUUUCAGAUCUCCCCUGCUCUCCCCACUGGCAGCAGCACCUCUUCAUUUCCCUGUGUGCCCUCUGCAGCUUUGAGGGGGCUUAUAAUGGGUGCUUGCUGGUACUGGCCUCGAAAGGGUUGGAGGAAUUUGAAGAGAUUUACAGUAGGAAGUGAUUGGCCGGUGUUCAGAGGUUUAGAGCAAUUUAUGGCAAACCUACCUGAAAUCUAGGGUGAUUUUUUUUUUUAAUACAUGACCCCCACUGCACCUGGAAGAUCAAGCAAGUCAGGUGCUCUACGCAUGAGCAUUUUGCAUAUCCUAGCACCCUACAGCCUGUGGGGAGCCAUGCAGAUGGACGCUUUUACCCUUCGUGUCAUUUUAAGAACAUAUUUGUCCUUUCCAGGAAGAAUUAGCAAUAAUGGCAGGUUCCUUCCUUUAACAUCUUCAAAAUACUCUCAUUCAUUAUUUUGAGGCCAGAGCAUCUUUAGUAUGGCAUGUUCUCAUGCAUGUAAAUAAAAUAGUGUGCUUUCUUUGAAUGCAUCUGUCACCAUGAAGGUAGACUACAGGGGUGGAAUUGGAGACAACGCAUGGAAUUUGUGGAAGAAAUGUUUUCCCUUCUUAGACAUGCAUAUUUCUCUGUAAAGCUGUUUUCAGUUAAAUGACUGAAGAUUUCAAAUGAUCUCAUUGUAUUGGAAUUGUGUUGCCCUGACAGCAGUUAAAAUUCAGUGGGUUGGUAGCUGAGGUUGGUGAUUGUUUUCAUUGUUCACUGAUGUUAAUUAUCGAGCCUUCUGAAAACAAGUUUUAUUAAAUGCAUUUAUUCAUUCAACAGGUGUUAUUAGGUGCUGACUGAAUGUCACUCUCACUCGACAACUCUGUGUGACAAAGUUAAUAUUUUAUUUACACAGACAGGGUAGUACAAUAUUUAAAAGUAGUUUGGCCUCAGUAAUACUAGUGAUAACAGGUCAGAAAAGCAACAACAAACUAUCUGGUUGCCUUGAAAUAUGAAUUUUAGGAAGAUGGCC
rnacentral:lncRNA from 1 species